UAGUUGACUUGGUGGAAAUGACGUCAGGAGCUGGAUUAGAACUCGCAUCGCUCGCUGUAUGAUUUACCAGAGUGUGUGUGUUAACCGCUAGACCACAGCCAUGAAAAGGCACCAAUCCAUAUUUCCUGAACUUUGCUCUCAUCCUUACAUGACCUCUCUGUAUCUCUGUCAUGUUUAUCAUAUCAUUUAUCACCUAUAAUUCACUUUCUGUUUUACUACACAAUCCUCCGAUAAGCUGUGAACUCUUCCGAAAAGUUGCGUUGCUCACGAGUCCCUGUGUUUGAGCUGUCACUACAGUUGGAGAUCACUUUGUUGAGCAGGAGAGGGAGGAGGGAAAACAUAGAAUUAAAAAUUAAACUCAAGCCUUACUGACAGGCGGACAGAAGCAUAUUUAUUUAUAAGCAGUUUAAACAUCUUCUGGAAGUGUGUGUGCAUGUGCAGGAGCCGAAGACUGAAUUAAAGGUCCUCGUGUGCAGAAAACUUCAGCUGAGCCUGAGGCGUCCGUCCAGCGAUGUUCCUCAGAGACGACUGAGUGGCCGGGGCAGUCGAUAGCACUUUAAAGGAUGUUGAUCCACACUGGCAAAAAAGGCCUGAUGAGAUCUACGGGGAGGAAUGGAGGAGACCGAAGCGGACGCUCACCUGUUGCCCCGUGACCAGGAGGAUGGAGCCCUCUUUGGCGUGCAUCACCUGCCGGAAAACGUGGUCCAGGAUGAGGAGUUCACUCCAGCAGUUUUGGAGAAGCUUCAUUUGGUCGUCAACCUGAGGAGAGACCGACAAAUGUGCGUUCUCAUCAAAGGCCUUGCCCCCACACGAGCCUCUGAUGCCCGGCGCUUUUGGGUCAUCAAACAGGGAUGAGGGUGCCAUGAGUCAAAGCAGGGGAAGACACAGCAGACCGGGGCCGCUGCCAACAACACGUCAGAUGGGCAGAGAAGGCAUCGCUGACCUUUUAAAGUGCGUCUGACACCGCUGUUUCCAUGUCAGCUCACUUCCCUUUGCACUGUCACCGCUAUGUGUAACUGGGGUCUGUGAAGCGAACUUAUGACAGGCAAGCUAUGUCCUCUAACACUGGAGGUAGUGACUUUGUAUGUUUGAGACACAAUGGCUUUCAAAUGUAAGCAUCAUUUGCGUUUUUUAAAAUCGUUUGGAAAAAAUAUUUGUACUAUUUAAUUACGUGUUCUUCUGAAAUCGGUGGAAAUUAAUGCAAUUUUUUUUUUUAAAUACCUACAAAGGUUGGUGUUCAUUGGGCCUCUUUCAUAAAAAAACAAGCAGAAUGCAUUUCUGUGUACAACUGUAAAAAUAGAGUUUAUUAUUAUUCUUAAAACUAAAUUUGAAUACAGCAGUUUAAGAAAGUGUACAAUUUGAACAAUUCACACAGGAAAUGAUUUACACAACUGACAUUCAAAUAUGUGCAUAAGCACAUAAGUUCAUAAGUUUUUUUGGCCUGGUAUUUUUGCUAUUUUUAAAUAUUAUUAACACCAUUCAUUUCUGUAAAUUUCACAAUUUACAUAAAAAUGUUUUUAUGAACAAUUUACACAAAAAAACAUUAACAGCAUACAAUUGCAUACAUCAAAUAUGUACAAAGGUUUCUGUUUAUUGGACCUUGUUUGAAAAAUGAGAAGAAUUAAUUUGUUUAAAUCAUUCACAAAACUACUUUUACUAUUUCUAAGUAAUAUUGAAACUAUUCCUAAAUUGAAUUUGCCAAUUUACGAAGGAAUAAGUUUCCAAGCAAUUUGCAAAGAAAAUAGCAUCAUUGUUUACAGUAUCUAUCAAUUUCAAUGCAAUUUUCACAAAUUGUGGAUUUAUCAUUCUAAUAAUUUUGGGUUUAUCAUUUGACAACUGGGUCUAUAAUUUUGAAAAUUUUAGCUUUAUCAUUCAACAGUUGGGUUUAUAAUUUUUUUGACAAAUUGUUGGUUUAUCAUUUUGAUCAUUUUGGGUUUAUUCCUUUAAGUUUAUCAUUUGACAACUUGGUUUAUCAUUUUAAUUUAUUUAUUUAUUUUUUGGACAAUUGGGUUUAUCAUUUUGACAAUUUUUGGUUUAUCAAUUAACAGUUGGGUUUAUUAUUCUGAAAAUUUUAGGUGCAUCAUUUUGACAAUUUUAGGUUUAUCAUUCAACAAUUGGGUUUAUAAUUUUGACAAUUUUGGGUUGAUCAUUUUGAUAAUUUUGGAUUUAUCUUUUAGACAAUUUUGGGCUUAUCAUUCAGCAAUUGGAUUUAUAAUUCUGACAGUUUUGGGUUUAUAAUUUUGACAAUUUUGGGUUUAUCCUUUUGAAAACUAGAUUUAUCAUUUGACAAUUGGGUUUAUAAUUUUGUCAAUUUCUGGUUCACCAUUUUGAUAAUUUAUCAUUUUGACUAUUUUAGGUUUAUCAGUUGGGUUUAUCAUUUUGACAACUGGGUUUAUUGUUUUGAUUAAUUGUGGGUUUAUCAUUUUGACAAUUUUGGGUUUAUCAUUUUGAAAAUGUUAGCUUUAUCAUUUGACAAAUGGGUUUAUAAUUUUGACAGUUUUGGGUUUAUCAUUUUAAUAACUGAUUUAUAAUUUUGAAAAUGUAUCAUUUGAAUAAUUUUGGGUCUAAUCAUUUUGACAAGUUUAGGUUUAUCAUUUGACAAUUGGGUUUAUAAUUCUGACAACUGGUCUUAUAAUUUUGAUUACUUAAAGUUUCUCAUUUUUACAAUUUUGGGUUUAUCAUUCAUGAAACAAAUAGACCUUUUUUUUUAACAACGAGUUUGCUCAGAAAUACAUUGUGCUCAUGUGUAUAAAAAUGAUGUAUAUUAUCAAUUAUCAACCAGCAACACUGGCAAAAUAUGCUGCAUUUUAAUGUUUAACACAGUCAUACAGUUGAUGUGAUUAGUAUUUUUUCAGCAUGGAUCACAGAAAUAAACCCAAGCAGACUCACAGAC